GGGGAAUAUUGGGCAAUGGGCGCAAGCCUGACCCAGCAACGCCGCGUGAGGGAAGAAGGCUUUCGGGUUGUAAACCUCUGUCCUUGGUGACGAAACAAAUGACGGUAGCCAAGGAGGAAGCCCCGGCUAACUACGUGCCAGCAGCCGCGGUAAUACGUAGGGGGCGAGCGUUGUCCGGAAUUACUGGGCGUAAAGGGUGCGUAGGUGGCCUUUUAAGUUGGAUGUGAAAUACCCGGGCUUAACUUGGGGGGUGCAUCUAAUACUGGAGGGCUAGAGUGCAGGAGAGGAAAGCGGAAUUCCUAGUGUAGCGGUGAAAUGCGUAGAUAUUAGGAGGAACACCAGUGGCGAAGGCGGCUUUCUGGACUGUAACUGACACUGAGGCACGAAAGCGUGGGGAGCAAAC
rnacentral:rRNA from 1 species